GGAUGAACGCUGGCGGCGUGCCUAAUACAUGCAAGUCGAGCGAAUAGACGAGGAGCUUGCUCCUCUGACGUUAGCGGCGGACGGGUGAGUAACACGUGGAUAACCUACCUAUAAGACUGGGAUAACUUCGGGAAACCGGAGCUAAUACCGGAUAAUAUAUUGAACCGCAUGGUUCAAUAGUGAAAGACGGUUUUGCUGUCACUUAUAGAUGGAUCCGCGCCGCAUUAGCUAGUUGGUAAGGUAACGGCUUACCAAGGCAACGAUGCGUAGCCGACCUGAGAGGGUGAUCGGCCACACUGGAACUGAGCCACGGUCCAGACUCCUACGGGAGGCAGCAGUAGGGAAUCUUCCGCAAUGGGCGAAAGCUUGACGGAGCAACGCCGCGUGAGUGAUGAAGGUCUUCGGAUCGUAAAACUCUGUUAUUAGGGAAGAACAAAUGUGUAAGUAACUAUGCACGUCUUGACGGUACCUAAUCAGAAAGCCACGGCUAACUACGUG
rnacentral:rRNA from 1 species